rnacentral:lncRNA from 1 species
CUGAUUCAUGUCCUGUAAAGACACUUUCUCAAAAUUUGCAUUUCUCUCCUCCCUAAUCUGAGAGCCUGUGGUGCUUCAGAGCCUGUUAUCUACCAGUCUGCUUUCUUCUCCUUUCCCCUACUCCAGUCUGUCUCAGAAGUGCAGCGUCAGGGGCUUUUCUUUCUCUUCCCCACUUACUGUCUAAAGACUAAUUCCUGGUUGGUCUCUUUCUCCCGCAUCUCUCACUUUAUCCUUUUAUUUUAGCGGGAGGAGUAGGGUGUAAUGUGAGGCCAUAUGAGGUCAAGGAACAGGCCCCUGGGUACCUUGACAGU